GCACAAACUACCACGAAAAACUGUAAGGUUGUAGCAGGAAUCAUCUUCUUUAGAAAAAGCAAAAAACAGAGCAGAGCAGAGAUGUAUUACUUCAUGCUUUGCCAAAGAUAAAAGGAAAAGGGGGCAGCAAGAAGAAGGGCUCUACAGCAAGAGUGGAGACAACAAGCAAAAUGGCAGUGCUCUGCAGGACAAUUUGCUGAGUGCAGCUUUGGAGGGCAAACCUUUUACAGUUGGUGGCGAAAAAUCUGGAACUGAAUAUGGGUUAGAUUCAUCGACUUUGCUGCUGUUCUGUUUCUCUUUUCGUGUUUCGUCAGAGGAAUAUAUUCAUCAUGAGUCCUCAUCCAUCAGUUGGAGAUUGAUUAGAGUUGCUGCUUCUCUCUUGGUCUUCGGCAGAGGAGUUCACCAUGAGUCGUCCCUUGGAGUGGCUUCAGAAUUUCAUGAACUUUUCGUUUUUGAGAAGAGUUUUCGCAAAAAUAAAAAGGAAAAUUAACACAGAUCACCCAAACACAAAAUAAAAGAGACCGGCGAAAGGGGAGGAGCCUCGGCGGCAGCGUGCUAAGGAACAUGACUGGAGGGGCCACAGCGGGAGGAGCCACGACCACAGCUAAGGAUUAGAGGCAGUGGCCCGCGUGGAGGAGCGGCGAGGAACCCGGACGGCAGCCGGGGAAGAGGAGCCUGAGCCUGACAGCGCGCCGGGAGAACUCAGGUCGGCGCGCAGCUCGGAGCCCGAGCCUGAGCCUGACAGCUGUGCGAGCAUCGCGAGAGGAAUGGGAAGAGACGAGGCAGGUAGGCCCCGCGUUCGUCCGCUCUGUGCGAGCAUCGCGAGAGAGGUUUCUCGUUGUAUAUAUGGAAGAAAAUAAUUGAAACUCCCCGUAAACUA